AUUGAACGCUGGCGGCAGGCCUAACACAUGCAAGUCGAACGGUAACAGGAAACAGCUUGCUGUUUCGCUGACGAGUGGCGGACGGGUGAGUAAUGUCUGGGAAACUGCCUAAUGGAGGGGGAUAACUACUGGAAACGGUAGCUAAUACCGCAUAACGUCGCAAGACCAAAGAGGGGGACCUUCGGGCCUCUUGCCAUCGGAUGUGCCCAGAUGGGAUUAGCUAGUAGGUGGGGUAACGGCUCACCUAGGCGACGAUCCCUAGCUGGUCUGAGAGGAUGACCAGCCACACUGGAACUGAGACACGGUCCAGACUCCUACGGGAGGCAGCAGUGGGGAAUAUUGCACAAUGGGCGCAAGCCUGAUGCAGCCAUGCCGCGUGUAUGAAGAAGGCCUUCGGGUUGUAAAGUACUUUCAGCGGGGAUGAAGGGAGUAAAGUUAAUACCUUUGCUCAUUGACGUUACCCGCAGAAGAAGCACCGGCUAACUCCGUG
rnacentral:rRNA from 1 species